UUGUGCAUUGCUUUGCAGUCGAGAACAAACAGCUUGGAAGGGCAGCAGUGAAGCCUUUUGUUGUGGUUGUCAACUCAGUGCAAGACAUUUUUGUGUGGGAACGCAACAUACAGUAUGUACACAGGUAUCCUGUCAAGAGUGUUUUAUUUAAAAGAUUGUAUAGGAGUCCUCACAAGGGGUGCAGCAGCACACAAAAAUCAUGGUUUAGGUACAGCAUGUACCUCAGAUUAAAGUGAGUUUGAUUCACACAGUAAGGGAAUAAAAAAAAGUAAUUUCUUCUCCUUCUUGGGAAACUGAAAGAACUAACCCUUUACAUGUUUUCUAAAGUGCAGCAAUGACAGUUCAGGCUUGACGGCCGACUGUUAUUGUACUGUGAGACGUUCUAAUGAGCAGUUACAAAGAAACUAAAUUCUUAAAACAUCACAUUUUCAAAGAAUUCAACAGAAAGGCUGAGGCAGACACUAAGACCUUUGGGUUUAUUACCACCUACUUUAGACUGGCCGGAGAUUUAACCUGAAAACACAUUGACAGUUCUGGAAAUCCAUGCGUCAUUGUCAGUGCUAGAGCAGAUAGCUGGGACAAGCCGUGCAGAACAGCAGCUUUGGCAUGUUCAUAAAGGUCUAGUUUGACUUUCUUGCUGAAAUACAGAUGAGAUGGACUUUUAUAUUACAGAUCAAUCCCCUUUAACACUUGUUUAAACAACUAAGUAUGGUCACAGGUCUGUCGCUGGAGAAAUGCAUAUGUUACUUUAUUGGCCUGCUUAGAAAUUAGAGUAAAGACCUUUUAAUACAAAAGUCAGCUGUGUUUGUACUUUGGCAUCAUUUCUACCUACUUGCAGUGAUGUUUGUGUUUCUGUGGAGCUGUUUUAAAUGCAUACAUGAGUUGGAUGUGUUGACAGAAAUGUACCUGAAUUGCUACUGAUAAAUGUCUGCACACUACUCUUGUCAUAUCCAUUUGUCUUUGUCCAUUUUUGUUUUUCACUAGGGAACUUAAGUGUUCCCAUGCAGGAGACCUUAAUGAGGAAUCUUCACGCACUUGCUUUUUAUUUGUUGUGGCUGACAUGGUGGGGCUAAAAGGAGGGAUAAGGGAGUUCAGACUUUUGUUCCAAAAUCACUCAGAUUGGUCCGCCUAGGACCAAAAAUCCUGUACCUUAAUGGUCCAGUGAAUACAAACACCUUUACACCUCCAGUCAUUACAUCAGUAUUUUCCCAAUCCUACCACUAAUUGGCUAUUAUGGACCUUGGUUUACCCUCUAGAGAUGAUGGUCAGUGUUUUAGGGUUAUAUGCAGGUAUCUUUUAAUUAACAGCAAAAGUUUACAGCUUUAGUUUUAUGGACAAAUAAAACAAUAUCAUAAAGUUGCUCCCUUUGUUGCGGCUUAGAUGUUCGCUGCCCAAACAAGCGCACACAGCUCUCAAGUCAAUCAUCAGUGUUAAAAUGAUUGAAACCAUCUUUUGUGUUGCUGAUAUCUGGUCGAGUUUACUGCUCAGAAUUUACUGGCCUAAGGGUAAAAGCUCUGUGCCACACUCAAGACAGCUUGAAUUGAACUGAAAGGUUUAUCACCUGCCAAAGCAUUAAAAAAAGAACUCACAACAUUAACCAUUUAGCAUUAUUCUAGCUUGCACUAACACAGCUCUUUAAAAGUCUUGAAUGAGUUAUUUUACAUUGACAGUGUUACAAUGCAAGUCGUGGAGAAAGGCUAUUUUUCGAGGUAUUUAAGAAGGAAUGCAUGCUUAGUGGUGAGAAAAAGAAAUUAUGAUUCUAAUUAAGCAAGAAAAAUACUUUCUCUGAGGCUGUUUACAUGUAACUGUGUUCAGCUAAAACAGUAAACUACUGUUGUGUGUUGGCAGUUCCUUCACAUGGACAGAGCAUUUUGGCUCAAACUUUACAGUAGCUUGUACAAACAGUAAAUUAUACUUCCAUGAUAACUUUGUUCCCAUGUACAGAUGGUUGCAAAGUUUACUGCAGCUUCUUAAUGAGUUUAAAAGAGACAGCAGGAGGAAGAAGUUUACACAGGAAGAAGUUCAGUGACUGCUCAGUGACAUGCGGUCUCUGUUGAUUUCACCUGCAGGCUACAAAAUGGCAGCUCAGUUUCAGAGGUCUCUGUUCAUCAGACCCUGCCUGACUGCGGCUCCCCCUGCUCACACGGCACUAAUUGUGUUACAACCUCAAACCCUGCCAGGCUGAAGGGAUGAGCAUAUUUCACUGAGUGCAACAAAGCACAAUGCUGUCAGUCUUACUGCUAAUUGAUGUAUGGGCCGCUUUUGUGAGCAUCUUUUUUUUUUUGGAAGAUUUUGGUUUGGCCUGCAGCUUCUGGGCUUUAUUGUGUGCACUGAUCUCUUUGUGCUUCAGGAAUAAAUCAAAAUGAUGCAUUACUGCAGGAAGCUUAACUACAGAGAGACUAAAGUUUUACAGCUGGUAUCUCAAUCUGUGUUAUGCAAAAUAUGAAAAAUAUAUCUCAGAAAGUUGACUUCACAACCCUGUAGUUAAAACACACAUUAUGUGCUUUCAAUACAGCUUCCUGUAGUAAAAAGCACUGUUUACGUCUCCUCCAGAAGUAUUUCCCACAUCAAAAUAUUCUGUAGCACAGCCGUCUGUGUUGUUGUUUAUGAGCGGCACUUGGGGCGAGCUGUGAGCGGCUGAUUUCCCCGCGGUGUGACAGAGGCUCUUUGACGUUAUGAUUUGCGCUCCAAUCCACCCCAA